UACGUAGGGGGCAAGCGUUGUCCGGAAUCAUUGGGCGUAAAGCGCGUGUAGGCGGUCCGGUAAGUCGGUUGUGAAAGUCCAGGGCUCAACCCUGGGAUGCCGACCGAUACUGUCGGACUAGAGUUCGGAAGAGGCGAGUGGAAUUCCCGGUGUAGCGGUGAAAUGCGUAGAGAUCCGGAGGAAUACCAGUGGCGCAAGCGGCGCUCUGGGUCGAGCCUGACACUGAGACGCGAAGGCAUGGGGAGCGAACGGG
rnacentral:rRNA from 1 species